AAGAACUUUCUGAUAAGGAAUCAUGUUUCAAAUCUUUCUUCCCAGCCAGAAGUCAGGAUACAAAUUCCAAUUGCAUUUAGGCACUGCUUCAGGACAUGAAUUUAAGUACCUAAGACACUGGGGAUACCCAUGGACUUUGAACAUCAGUGUGGGGUUUGAAUCUGUGCUGGAAACCUUUUUGAUAACAGAACCCAUCUUCCCUCCUACAUCUUCUUAAAUGGAAAACAUUGAGUUCUUGCUGGAGUGCGUGCAGUGUUUGCUCCUGUGGAUUGCCAGGGUGAAAGAGAAGGAAGCCUGCAACAAUUCUGUUUCUCCAUUGCAUCCAAAAGACCCAUCAGGGUCUCUAAGACCCAAAGUUGCCAUUUUACAGGAGCAGAUGUAAAAACUACACCAGCUUACCUGGAAUCCACACAACUGGAUGCAUCUGCCUUCACCUUUCCUUACUCAUUCCUCUUGCUUGUCUCUUACUGUAGAUAUUUUUGUUUCUUUCUUCACUGGCUCUCAAAAUAGUCAAGAGCGUAUUCCAGUCUCAAAUACUUAUUUUCAAAAUAACCUUGAGGAGGAAAAAAAAAAGAAACACUGACGUUUUGUGGACGGAGACUUUUAAAACUUUUCACAAUAGUUUUGCAUAGAGUGGAUUCAGUAAGCUCACUCUCAUGUGAUUGACUCAUUAUUUCUCAUCAGUUCCAUCAGUGAAAAUGAUUUCCAAUAUUUCUCAGAAAAAAAAAGCACAGUGUCAGUAGGGCACAGUCAGACACAAUGGCUGUGAGCAGCUCAAUAGACUGAAUUACUCUUGCACAAUUCUCUUUGCCCUGCAAAGAGACAUUUUGCAGCAUCAAUUAGGUUCGGCAAGCAUUCCGUUUAAAGUCAAGAGCUGGAAGAAUAAUGAAUUUCUUUGAAGUCUGAUGACAGCCUAGGCAACAGCCCAAGUAGAAAGAGAAACAAACUGGAAAACUCAUUUACAUAAGAAAUUGUACCAGCUGACCUUUUAUUAGAUCUGAUCUUGUGGAAGGUAUCACUAUAUGAAUUCAUCAUUCUCACAAGCAAUUCCUCAUUUAAUAAGGGCUAUUUGCUGCAAAUUAUGGCACUGGGCUCAGUAACUCCCUAGUAAGGGUCAGUGAAAACAGAAAUUAUGAAUGCAAUGGACAACUGCAGAGUACUCAGGUCCAGUGGAUUUCACACCUCAUCUAUAUUAGUGUUAAUUUGCAAAAGGAAAUAUCUGCUUGCUACCAGGAAAUAUCUGAGCACCAUUUGCUAAAAUCUCUCUGUGGACCUUCAGUAGGUUUUGGUUUUUCAUUUUGCACAAAGCCACCCAAAACAUUGAAUUGAAGAUGUAUAGAUGUGUAGUCACAUAUUUCUGGUUUUUACAGGUGCCACAGGACUCUCAAACAACAACUUUUAUUAGGGACACUGAUGUACAGCUUUCCAAGAACAUUUAAGUAGGGAAGAUGCCAGAGAUGGUAAGAAAUAUGUACAUACAAGGUUUGCACUGACACUCCUCAGCAUUUGGAAGGAACAGCACAAAGAUACAGGAAGAAACAAAGGUGGGUAAACUGAGCAGCAAAUUUAGGGGAAAUCUGAAGAAGCAAGGCACGGGAGUGACAAGGAAUAAUUAGACUCAAUACAAAAUAGGUGUGUUGAAGUUACUGGGGAACAAAAGCACCUGGUAACAGUGAAACAGAAACACUUUAUUUCCAAGAUUGUCAAAACAUACCUUUUUACAGCAAUCUCCUUGUGGGUCUUUAGCAUGUUAAGUUGCAAUGUGAGCAGAUAUUUCUUCUGCGAUUCCACUGCAGCUUUCGGUGGCCUUAAAACGAAAUUAUUGUUUCUUCACUAUACCAUCAUUCUGUGACUAUGCCAACAACUUCAACUGAAAACACUUUUCCAAAUCAGCUGCCAAAUCCAAAAUGCCAUUGUCAAUAAAGGAUGAAACCAAUGAUAUGCAGAAAGACUCCACAACUCAGUAAAGCUGUAAGGUAGAUACGUAUUUAUCCAGCGCCAGGCACAUCCAGGAUCAUUCCCAAAGGCACAUGCACUGAAAGCAAUGGCUGUUCCCCUUUUAUUCUCCACAAUCUAGGAUUACACCAGAUGCCUGAUACAUUUUCAUUCCCUAGCCUCACCUAGCCUCACUUUUGUAUGGUAAUUAGCUCCAGGUGCUGUCUGUGCUUGUGCCUGCCCAGUUUAGGGGUCAUUGGGUUCUUUGAUGAAGGCUUCCAAGCUCUUCUUCACAUCUGAACUCUUUACCUUUCCUCUUCACACGUGUUCCUUGCCCCCUUGGUCAGAGUCCAAGCUGCAAGACUAGUCCUGGCCAGUUUUGGGGUCUAAGCAACCCUUCCUAUCUCAGUCUCUGCAUUCCUGUCACCCUUCAUCCUGUCUUGAGGUCACAGCUCCUUCCUCAUCAAAGAGUGCUGCGUUCUUUCAUGCUGUUUUUCCAGCACAGCAGAUGUCCAGCUGCUUUGGAAAGCACAGCAGAGGUUACAGAGACAAUAUUCAUUUUCUACCAAGCAGAAUACAUUUUAAAGAUAAUAUACAUUUCCAAGUCCGCUAUCCCUAAUCAAUUAAUCGCUAAACUUCUAACUCCUUUGCCUCACCAUCUAGCACUGACUAGUUUCUCCAAGAAAAAGGGCUUCCUAAUAAAUGUGCCAACUCUUGAGAAAAAUAAAUUCCCAUUUUUUCAAAAAAAAUUUGCAUGUUGUAAACUUCUAUUUUUCCCAAUUGGUUUAUUUUACCUUGACAAAAAAUCCCAGUCAUUAAUGAGUAUUUCUGAAACAAAAACAAAGAAUAAACCUUUGAGCAUGUUUAUAAUACAGCACAUACAGACAGGUAAAUAGGAAUAACAUUUGCUCUUGUUUUUAGUUUUCAGAUUACAGAGCAUUUGGUAGUAGAAAACAUUAUUAGUGCUGAGGACUUUCUUGCUUUUCAGCUUGAGGGAUCUGUUCAUCCUGCUUCUUUCUGGGAGACUGUGUGUAACCUUUUUUCCCUUGGGCUUUCUUUGAAGGGAGAGUGAAGAAAGUUUUGGUACACCAGGAAUACACUUUUCUAUCAUGCCUCCAACAUGGAAUAAUCAUAAGUGAGAUGAAUCCUCGUUUCAUGGGGGUGCAGUAUUUAUUUGCUAUUGUCCUGAGUUGCAGUGCAAGAUGUAAC